GAUGAACGCUGGCGGCGUGCCUAAUACAUGCAAGUCGAGCGAACGGACGAGAAGCUUGCUUCUCUGAUGUUAGCGGCGGACGGGUGAGUAACACGUGGAUAACCUACCUAUAAGACUGGGAUAACUUCGGGAAACCGUAGCUAAUACCGGAUAAUAUUUUGAACCGCAUGGUUCAAAAGUGAAAGACGGUCUUGCUGUCACUUAUAGAUGGAUCCGCGCUGCAUUAGCUAGUUGGUAAGGUAACGGCUUACCAAGGCAACGAUGCAUAGCCGACCUGAGAGGGUGAUCGGCCCCACUGGACCUGGGACCCGGUCCAGACCCCUACGGGAGGCAGCAGGAGGGAAUCUGCCGCAAUGGGCGAAAGCCUGACGGAGCAACGCCGCGUGAGUGAUGAAGGUCUUCGGAUCGUAAAACUCUGUUAUUGGGGAAGAACAUAUGUGUAAGUAACUGUGCACAUCUUGCCGGUACCUAAUCAGAAGGCCACGGCUACCUCCGU
rnacentral:rRNA from 1 species